rnacentral:rRNA from 1 species
UGGAUAACUGUGGUAAUUCUAGAGCUAAUACAUGCACCAAAGCUCCGAUUUUCUGACGAGCGCAUCUAUUAGAUUAAAACCAAUCGGGUUUCGGCCCGUCAAUUGGUGACUCUGAAUAACUAUAGCUGAUCGCAUGGUCUCGAACCGGCGACGUGUCUAUCAAGUGUCUGCCUUAUCAACUGUCGAUGGUAGUUUAUGUGCCUACCAUGGUUGUAACGGGUAACGGAGAAUAAGGGUUCGACUCCGGAGAGGGAGCCUGAGAAACGGCUACCACAUCCAAGGAAGGCAGCAGGCGCGCAAAUUACCCACUCUCGGCAUGAGGAGGUAGUGACGAAAAAUAACGAGACCGUUCUCUAUGAGGCCGGUUAUCGGAAUGGGUACAAUUUAAACCCGUUAACGAGGAUCUAUGAGAGGGCAAGUCUGGUGCCAGCAGCCGCGGUAAUUCCAGCUCUCAAAGUGUAUAUCGUCAUUGCUGCGGUUAAAAAGCUCGUAGUUGGAUCUGCGCCUCAGGACCUGGUCCGCCCACUGGGCGAGAACUGGGCUCCUGGGCUAGUUCUGCUGGUUUUCCCUACGUUGCCUUCAUCGGUCGCGUAGGGUGGCUAGCGAGUUUACUUUGAAAAAAUUAGAGUGCUUCACGCGGGCUUAUGUCUGAAUACUCGUGCAUGGAAUAAUAGAAUAGGAUCUCGGUUCUAUUUUGUUGGUUUUCUGAUCUGAGAUAAUGGUUAAGAGGGACGGACGGGGGCAUUCGUAUCGCUGCGUGAGAGGUGAAAUUCUUGGACCGUAGCGAGACGUCCGACUGCGAAAGCAUUUGCCAAGAA